AUGAAGAUGACUGCGGCCAGGCACUGAGGGUCAAGUGCAUCUCGGAAGUCACUCAGGUAGUGGGGAUAGCGGCGCCGCACAUCUCGGAUCAGCCCCCCAAAGGGCCGCCCCGUCCGCCGAAGGGGAUCAUCUUCAGCUGCCCCUGCCGCCUCUACCAUCUGCAGGAGCCCUUAUCUUGGGCAGAUUUGGGCUCCAGCCCAGCCCCUGUAGGUAGCAGCCGGCCCUGCUCCUCUCGCUUCUUGAGCAUCUGGCGCUGGAAGUGGGCCACAGAGCGCAGCAGCUCCUCGCCCUGCACUUCUGAAGGCGGCAGCACCACGCUGCAGUCCAGGAAGGCGUUGAUGGCCGUCAGCAGGUCCUCCCGCUCGUCAGCCAGGUAGGCUGCCUCGUGGAAUUCUUGUCUGACAUGAGGGUGGAGAUGGAGCGGCCGAUCUCGUGGUAGUCCAUGUUGGCACUACUCGGGCCCAGCAGCAGGAAGAGGAAACGCACAGGCACCGGCACCUCCAACACUGCGUCC
rnacentral:lncRNA from 10 species